rnacentral:Y_RNA from 1 species
GGCUAGUCCGAAGGUAGUGAGUUAUCUCAACUGAUUGUUCACAGUCAGUGACAGAUCCAACUCCUUGUUCUACUCUUACCUCCUUUUCACUACUGCACUUGAUUAGUCUUAA